rnacentral:misc_RNA from 1 species
GAUGAAGAACGUAGCGAAAUGCGAUAAGUAAUGUGAAUUGCAGAAUUCAGUGAAUCAUCGAAUCUUUGAACGCACAUUGCGCCCGCCAGUAUUCUGGCGGGCAUGCCUGUCCGAGCGUCAUUUCAACCCUCGAACCCCUCCGGGGGGUCGGCGUUGGGGAUCGGCCCUGCCUCUUGGCGGUGGCCGUCUCCGAAAUACAGUGGCGGUCUCGCCGCAGCCUCUCCUACGCAGUAGUUUGCACACUCGCAUCGGGAGCGCGGCGCGUCCACAGCCGUUAAACACCCAACUUCUGAAAUGUUGACCUCGGAUCAGGUAGGAAUACCCGCUGAACUUAAGCAUAUCAAUAAGCGGAGGA